UUAAGUUAAUAAGGGCGCACGGUGGAUGCCUUGGCACUAGAAGCCGAUGAAGGACGUGACUAACGACGAAAUGCUUUGGGGAGCUGUAAGUGAGCAAUGAUCCAGAGAUGUCCGAAUGGGGGAACCCGGCAGGUAAUGCCUGUCACUUAUUACUGUUAAGGUAAUGUAGAGGAAGACGCAGUGAACUGAAACAUCUAAGUAGCUGCAGGAAGAGAAAGCAAAAGCGAUUGCCUUAGUAGCGGCGAGCGAAACGGCAAGAGGGCAAACCGAAGAGUUUACUCUUCGGGGUUGUAGGACUGCAACGUGGACUUAAAGAUUAUAGAAGAACUACCUGGGAAGGUAGGCCAAAGAGAGUAAUAGCCUCGUAUUCGAAAUAGUCUUUAUACCUAGCAGUAUCCUGAGUACGGCGAGACACGAGAAAUCUCGUCGGAAUCUGGGAGGACCAUCUCCCAACCCUAAAUACUCUCUAGUGACCGAUAGUGAACCAGUACCGUGAGGGAAAGGUGAAAAGCACCCCGGGAGGGGAGUGAAAUAGAACCUGAAACCGUGUGCCUACAACAAGUUCGAGCCCGUUAAUGGGUGAGAGCGUGCCUUUUGUAGAAUGAACCGGCGAGUUACGAUAUGAUGCGAGGUUAAGUUGAAGAAACGGAGCCGUAGGGAAACCGAGUCUUAAUAGGGCGCAUUAGUAUCAUGUCGUAGACCCGAAACCAUGUGACCUACCCAUGAGCAGGUUGAAGGUGAGGUAAAACUCACUGGAGGACCGAACCAGGGCACGUUGAAAAGUGCUUGGAUGACUUGUGGGUAGCGGAGAAAUUCCAAACGAACUUGGAGAUAGCUGGUUCUCUCCGAAAUAGCUUUAGGGCUAGCGUCGAUGUUAAGUCUCUUGGAGGUAGAGCACUGUUUGGGUGAGGGGUCCAUCCCGGAUUACCAAUCUCAGAUAAACUCCGAAUGCCAAUGAGAUAUAAUCGGCAGUCAGACUGCGAGUGCUAAGAUCCGUAGUCGAAAGGGAAACAGCCCAGACCACCAGCUAAGGUCCCAAAAUAUAUGUUAAGUGGAAAAGGAUGUGGGGUUGCACAGACAACUAGGAUGUUAGCUUAGAAGCAGCUAUUCAUUCAAAGAGUGCGUAAUAGCUCACUAGUCGAGUGACCCUGCGCCGAAAAUGUACCGGGGCUAAAACAUAUUACCGAAGCUGUGGAUACCUUUAUAGGUAUGGUAGGAGAGCGUUCUAUGUGCGAAGAAGGUGUACCGUGAGGAGUGCUGGAGCGCAUAGAAGUGAGAAUGCCGGUAUGAGUAGCGAAAGACAGGUGAGAAUCCUGUCCACCGUAAGACUAAGGUUUCCAGGGGAAGGCUCGUCCGCCCUGGGUUAGUCGGGACCUAAGGAGAGACCGAAAGGUGUAUCCGAUGGACAACAGGUUGAUAUUCCUGUACUAGAGUAUAUAGUGAUGGAGGGACGCAGUAGGCUAACUAAACCAGACGAUUGGAAGUGUCUGGCCAAGCAGUGAGGUGUGAUAUGAGUCAAAUGCUUAUAUCUCUAACAUUGAGCUGUGAUGGGGAGCGAAGUUUAGUAGCGAAGUUAGUGAUGUCACACUGCCGAGAAAAGCUUCUAGCGUUAAUUAUACUCUACCCGUACCGCAAACCGACACAGGUAGUCGAGGCGAGUAGCCUCAGGUGAGCGAGAGAACUCUCGUUAAGGAACUCGGCAAAAUGGCCCCGUAACUUCGGGAGAAGGGGCGCUGACUGAUGGUCAGCCGCAGUGAAUAGGCCCAAGCAACUGUUUAUCAAAAACACAGCUCUCUGCUAAAUCGUAAGAUGAUGUAUAGGGGGUGACGCCUGCCCGGUGCUGGAAGGUUAAGAGGAGUGCUUAGCGUAAGCGAAGGUAUGAAUUGAAGCCCCAGUAAACGGCGGCCGUAACUAUAACGGUCCUAAGGUAGCGAAAUUCCUUGUCGGGUAAGUUCCGACCCGCACGAAAGGCGUAAUGAUUUGGGCACUGUCUCAACGAGAGACUCGGUGAAAUUUUAGUACCUGUGAAGAUGCAGGUUACCCGCGACAGGACGGAAAGACCCCAUGGAGCUUUACUGCAGUUUGAUAUUGAGUAUCUGUACCACAUGUACAGGAUAGGUAGGAGCCUAUGACCUCGGGACGCCAGUUUCGAGUGAGGCGUUGUUGGGAUACUACCCUUGUGUUAUGGCUACUCUAACCCAGAUAGGUUAUCCCUAUCGGAGACAGUGUCUGACAGGCAGUUUGACUGGGGCGGUCGCCUCCUAAAAGGUAACGGAGGCGCCCAAAGGUUCCCUCAGAAUGGUUGGAAAUCAUUCGCAGAGUGUAAAGGUAUAAGGGAGCUUGACUGCGAGAGCUACAACUCGAGCAGGGACGAAAGUCGGGCUUAGUGAUCCGGUGGUUCCGUAUGGAAGGGCCAUCGCUCAACGGAUAAAAGCUACCCUGGGGAUAACAGGCUUAUCUCCCCCAAGAGUUCACAUCGACGGGGAGGUUUGGCACCUCGAUGUCGGCUCGUCGCAUCCUGGGGCUGUAGUCGGUCCCAAGGGUUGGGCUGUUCGCCCAUUAAAGCGGCACGCGAGCUGGGUUCAGAACGUCGUGAGAC
rnacentral:rRNA from 1 species